rnacentral:rRNA from 1 species
GACGAACGCUGGCGGCGUGCUUAACACAUGCAAGUCGAACGGAAAGGCCUGCUUUCCCUUGUGGAUUGCGGGUACUCGAGUGGCGAACGGGUGAGUAACACGUGAGUGAUCUGCCCCCAACUUGGGUAUAAGCCUGGGAAACUGGGUCUAAUUCCCGAUAGGACUGCAGGGUGGUGCCUGUGGUGGAAAACGAUUUUCUAGUGGUUGGGGAUGAGCUCGCGGCCUAUCAGCUUGUUGGUGGGGUAAUGGCCUACCAAGGCGGCGACGGGUAGCCGGCCUGAGAGGGUGGACGGCCACAUUGGGACUGCGAUACGGCCCAGACUCCUACGGGAGGCAGCAGUGGGGAAUAUUGCACAAUGGGCGGAAGCCUGAUGCAGCGACGCCGCGUGGGGGAUGACGGCCUUCGGGUUGUAAACUCCUUUCGACCGCGAGGAAGCCACCUGGUUGGAAGGGUGGUGACGGUAGUGGUAGAAGAAGCACCGGCUAACUACGUG